GUGUGCAGGGCGGGGCCUAGAUCCCGCCGAGGGGCACGGAGCGGCCGGACCGAAGUUCGGGGCGGAGCCAGGGCGGGGCCUAGGCCGGGCAGAGGAGCGCGGGGCGGGGUGUGGGCUGCGGCGCGCGAGCCGAGCGGCCCGCCGAGCCCCGCCGAGGCCCGAGCCCACCCGAGUGCGCCCGAGCCCGCGGCCCCCGCCCGGGGCGAUGGAGCCAGAGCCCGGCGGGGCGGCCGCUGCGCUCCUGCGGCAGAAGAGGGCGGCGCUGCGGCGCAGGGGGUGCAGCUUCGAGAGCCCCAGUACAGCACUGCAGCCUCCAGGCCCACUGAUGGAUCCGCUGACGAAAGGGUCCAGUGGGAGUCAGAUGGCACAGACCCUUCUAUGGAAAGCCAAGUCGUCUCUCUCCUUUGGCAUCCAGCCCCUGCAGACGUGGCCAACAAAAGACCCUGAAGUAGAGGCCCAGGUCAACCUCUCUGUCUCGGAAGACCUAGGCUGUAGACGUGGGGAUUUCAGUAGGAAACAUUAUGGAUCUGUGGAGCUGCUUAUCUCUAGUGAUGCCGAUGGAGCCAUCCAAAGGGCUGGAAGGUUCAGAGUGGAAAACGGCUCUUCAGAUGAGAAUGCAACUGCUCUGCCAGGCACUUGGCGAAGGACAGACGUGCACUUAGAGAACCCAGAAUACCACACCAGAUGGUAUUUCAAGUAUUUUUUAGGACAAGUCCAUCAGAACUACAUUGGAAAUGAUGCGGAGAAGAGCCCCUUCUUCCUGUCGGUGACCCUCUCUGACCAAAACAAUCAGCGUGUCCCUCAAUACCGUGCAAUCCUUUGGAGGAAAACAGGUACCCAGAAAAUAUGCCUUCCCUACAGCCCCACAAAAACGCUCUCUGUGAAGUCCAUCUUAAGUGCCAUGAAUCUGGACAAAUUCGAGAAAGGCCCCAGGGAAAUUUUUCAUCCUGAGAUACAAAAGGACUUGCUGGUUCUUGAAGAACAAGAGGGCUCUGUGAAUUUCAAGUUUGGGGUUCUUUUUGCCAAAGAUGGGCAGCUCACAGAUGAUGACAUGUUCAGCAAUGAAAUCGGAAGUGACGCUUUUCAAAAAUUUUUAAAUCUCCUGGGUGACACAAUCACUCUCAAGGGCUGGACAGGCUACCGUGGAGGUCUGGACACCAAAAAUGACACCACAGGGAUGCAUUCUGUUUAUACCAUCUACCAAGGGCAUGAGAUCAUGUUUCAUGUUUCCACCAUGUUGCCAUAUUCCAAAGAGAACAAACAGCAGGUAGAAAGGAAGCGCCACAUUGGAAAUGACAUCGUCACCAUCGUGUUCCAGGAAGGGGAGGAGCCUUCUCCUGCCUUCAAGCCUUCCAUGAUCCGCUCCCACUUUACACAUAUUUUUGCCUUAGUGAGGUAUGAUCAGCAAAAGGACAAUUACAGGCUGAAAAUAUUUUCAGAGGAAAGCGUACCACUCUUUGGCCCACCCUUGCCCUCCCCACCAGUGUUUACAGACCACCAGGAAUUCAGGGACUUUUUGCUAGUGAAAUUAAUUAAUGGUGAAAAAGCCACUCUGGAAACCCCAACGUUCGCCCAGAAACGUCGACGAACUCUGGAUAUGUUGAUUCGAUCUUUAUACCAGGAUUUGAUGCCAGAUUUGCAUAAGAACAUGCUUAAUAGACGAUCUUUCAGUGAUGUCUUACCAGAGUCGCCCAAGUCAGCACGGAAGAAAGAGGAGGCCCGCCAGGCAGAGUUCGUUAGAAUAGGGCAGGCGCUGAAACUGAAAUCCAUCGUGAGAGGGGAUGCCCCAUCAAGCUUGGUGGCAGCGGGGAUCUGUAAAAAAGAGCCUUGGGAGCCCCAGUGUUUCUGCAGUAAUUUCCCUCACGAAGCCGUGUGUGCAGAUCCCUGGGGCCAGGCCUUGCUGGUUUCCACUGAUGCUGGCGUCUUGCUAGUGGAUGAUGACCUUCCAUCAGUGCCAGUGUUUGACAAAACUCUGCCCGUGAAGCAGAUGCAUGUGCUGGAGGCUCUGGACCUUCUGAUUUUCAGAGCAGACAAAGGGAAAGACGCCCGCCUCUUUGUCUUCCGGCUGAGCGCUGUGCAGAGGGGCAUUGAGGGCAACCAGGCCGUGAAGGGCAAAUAUGACUGCAGAGAAAACAAGCUGGAGAAAACCAAAGGCUGCCACUUGUAUGCCAUGAACACUCACCAUAGCAGAGAGCUGAGGAUUGUGGUUGCCAUUCGGAAUAAACUGCUUCUGGUCACGAGGAAACACAGCAAGCCAAGCGGGGUGACCGGCAUGUCACUGUCAUCUCCCCUGCCCGAGUCACCUGUUGAAGAAUUCCAGUACAUCAGGGAGAUCUGUCUGUCCGACUCUCCCUCGGUGAUGACCUUGGUAGAUGGGCCAUCGGAAGAGAGUGACAACCUCAUCUGCGUGGCUUACCGGCACCAAUUCGACGUGGUGAACGAGAGCACGGGGGAGGCCUUCAGGCUGCACCAUGUGGAGGCCAACAGGGUUAAUUUCGUUGCAGCUAUUGAUGUGUACGAAGACGGGGAAGCCGGUCUGCUCCUGUGUUACAACUACAGUUGCAUCUAUAAAAAGGUUUGCCCGUUUAAUGGUGGCUCUUUUUUGGUUCAACCCUCUGCAUCAGAUUUCCAGUUCUGUUGGAACCAGGCUCCCUGUGCGAUUGUCUGUGCAUUUCCCUACCUGCUGGCCUUCACCACCGACUCCAUGGAGAUCCGCCUGGUGGUGAACGGGAACCUGGUCCACACGGCCGUCGUGCCUCAGCUGCAGCUCGUGGCCUCCAGGUUUGAAUUUGUGUCCCACAAACUAUGGCUGACAGACUAAUUCACGUCUGGUAACAGAAUGUGACCAAAACCGAAGGAUGCAGGAACGACUAUCUUCCAAGCUGUCUUCUACUCCUGGCGCAUAAUCCAGCAGGUCUUGUUCUAGUCCCCUCCCCCAAGUCAGCCCCACACCCUCUCCCUGGCUCGCCAGGCCAGGCUGGUGCCUGCUGCACGCCUGGAGCACUUUUCCAUCCUGACCUGCAUCACAUUUGGUGGUGGGUGACUGCGUACUUUCCCCACUGCACUGACAGUUCUGUGAGAGCAGAGACUGAGCAUCUUAUUCACUAACGUAGCGCCAAUGGGGUGCUGGUAAGUGUGUAACUACCACCAGCCCUCUGGAAAAUGGGUGUGUGUAUGUAUACACACACAUAUAUGGACAUCAGUUGAUUACAAAUUUUACGGAUUAUAAAAUGUAAAUAGCUUACAAUUUACAAAUAAUAAAAUAUACAAUGCUUUUAUCUUAAAAGUCCAUUUAGCCAACUGGCUCUCACAAAAUGCUUUUGUUAAUUUUGGCUGAAUUCCUUUCUCCGUAGCCAAACUAAUGCUGCAGAUCGACCACAAUUUUAUGGUUGGAAUUAUAUCUCCAUCCGUUCUUCUUUUUCCAAGUUUGUUGUCAUUAAAUCUGAUGUGUGGGGCUUCCCUGGUGGCACAGUGAUUAAGAAUCUGCCUGCCAAUGCAGGGGACACGGGUUCGAGCCCUGGCCCGGGAAGAUCCCACAUGCUGCAGAGCAGUUGAGCCUGUGCGCCACAACUAUUGAGCCUGCGCUCUAGAGCCCGCGAGCCACAACUACUGAGCCCACGUGCCACAACUACUGAAGCCCGUGCACCUAGAGCCCUGCUCCGCAACAAGAGAAGCCACCGCAAUGAGAAGCCUGUGCGCCGCAACGAAGAGUAGCCCCCGCUCACUGCAACUAGAGAAAAGCCCACGCACAGCAACGAAGACCCAACACAGCCAAAAAUAAAUAAAUAAAUAAAUUUAUUUUUAAAAAAUCUGAUAUGUGAUCUAUUAAACUAUUUUUCACUCUUGUACAAAUCAUUAAACCAAAACUUCUCUCAAUUUUAGCAUUAGAUUCAACACACUUUUAAUUUUAAUCUUCAUUAUUAACAUUUUCUUCAUCACUGUAAGUCUAGACAAUCAACAAAACAACAAAUCAAGCUCUGAUUUGUAGCAUUUGCCGAUUUCCAUGGUGUAAACAGUCCCACCAUGACUGAUCUCAAGCUUCCCAUGUGACACGAUGGAACACAGCGUUAGGAGCCGCUGUUACACAGCAUCGCCCCACCCGCCCAAGACAGUGUUCAUGUAAAUUACCUCAAGAGCUUGGAGAAUACUCAAGUCGGAUAUAUACUUCACAGCAACCGCAUCUGUGAACGAGGUCUCAUCCGGAGGCAGCUCCAAGGGGGCCAGUGCCCACAAUUCUCCUCAGACACCCCCGGGCAGAGAUACUCCAGUGUUUCCUUCUUCCCUGG